rnacentral:rRNA from 1 species
AUGUACGAGCUGUAUGGAGACUGCCUCAGCUUCGACACAACAUUCAAGACAAACAGAUACAACCUCCCAUUUGCUCCCUUUGUUGGUGUCACAGGACAUGGCCAGAACUGUUUGUUUGCUUGCUCUAUCAUAGAGAAUGAAACAGCUGACACCUUUCAAUGGUUGUUUGAGACAUUCUUGCAUUGCAUGGGUGGGAAAUCUCCGUCCACAAUCAUAACAGACGAGGAUGCUGGGAUGAAGACAGCUAUUCCUUUAGUUUUCUCGCAUAUCUGCCACAGGCGUUGUUUGUUUCAUAUUAAAAAGAAGGUUGAGGAAAAAUGUACUAGGACUUUUGCAGCACAUAAGACACUGCAUGAUGAUAUCAGUGACAUCAUUCACAACUCUCUGACGAUGGCUGAGUUUGAGCAAUUGUGGACAGAAAUGUUGGAGAAAUACAACAUUGGGCAUGUGAAGUAUUUUCAAAUCAUGUGGAAGAAAAGGAAAAGGUUUGUCCCUGUGUAUUUCAAGAUGGACUUCUUCCCCUUCAUUCACUCUACUGCGCGUAGUGAAGGCACCAAUGCCAUUUUCAAGGACAACAUCACGUCAACUCACAAUGUGAUGAGCUUCCUCCAAGAGUACCAGAAGAUUUCAGAGACCAUACAAGAUAAGGAGAGGCAGCAAGACUCUAUCACAAGAACAACUUCGCCGACAUUCUGGGUACGAAGUGAGAUUGAGAUACAAGCUGCAAAAAUGUACAACAGAAAGAUAUUUUACAGAUUCCAAAACAGAUAA